rnacentral:rRNA from 1 species
GACGAACGCUGGCGGCGUGCUUAACACAUGCAAGUCGAACGGAAAGGCCCCUUUGGGGGUACUCGAGUGGCGAACGGGUGAGUAACACGUGAGUAACCUGCCCUUGACUUCGGGAUAACUUCAGGAAACUGGGGCUAAUACCGGAUAGGAAUCCUUGCUGCAUGGUGGGGGUUGGAAAGCUUCGGCGGUUUUGGAUGGACUCGCGGCUUAUCAGCUUGUUGGUGGGGUAGUGGCUUACCAAGGCUUUGACGGGUAGCCGGCCUGAGAGGGCGACCGGCCACAUUGGGACUGAGAUACGGCCCAGACUCCUACGGGAGGCAGCAGUGGGGAAUAUUGCACAAUGGGCGGAAGCCUGAUGCAGCAACGCCGCGGGCGGGAGGACGGCCUUCGGGUUGUAAACCGCUUUCAGCAGGGGCGAAGCUUGUGGUGACGGUACCUGCAGAAGAAGCACCGGCUAACUACGUG